GCAAGUCGAGCGAGAAAGCCUUCGGGUGGUGGAGAGCGGCGAACGGGUGAGUAACGCGUAGGUAUCUACCUAGUAGUGGGGAAUAACCAUUGGAAACGAUGGCUAAAACCGCAUACGCCCUGAGGGGGAAAACUGAGGUGCUAUUAGAGGAGCCUGCGUUAGAUUAGCUAGUUGGUGAGGUAAUGGCUCACCAAGGCGACGAUCUAUAGCUGGUUUGAGAGGAUGAUC
rnacentral:rRNA from 1 species